UGAUGGUUUCUGAAGAUAUAAUGGAUUAUAUCUUAUAGGUUGAAUAGAUGCAUUCACUAGCUAUGUUAAUCUACCGGCAUGUGGUUCAAGAUGACAGAACCUUUGCUAGAGCUGCUGUUCCGAGUGGUGUAUUCACUGGAUGAAAAUAGAUGCAAUGUAGGAAAAUGCUCUCAUCUCAUCCUCAAACAUGCAGCGAAAGCAUGAACAAUAGUUAAUAAGCUUCCAGGUAAAUAUUAUUACAUUACGCUGUAAUCCAACAUCCAAGCAUAAUUGUAAUGGUUGGAUUAUGAAAUCUUCAUUUAGUUUGUAUUUUCUGAGGACCAAUUUUAUGAAUUUAUUUCACAAAUAUUUGGUUGUUUAUGUAGAGCAUGAGGUUAAACCAGAUUGGUUACACAUUUGAGGUUCAUCAGUUUAAAUUUCUCGUUAGUCAACAUAAUAUUUAGAGAUUUAGUUGAGAUAUGAUUCUUGUAGAAGAUGGCUAGGCACCAUCCUCAUCUAUAGAAUUGUGAAAUGUAGGCUCUGAUUGCUGAGGUAGGUUGCUGUGGGGUGACACACUGAUAAUAUGGGGAAAAAUGUUUGCUUCUUUGAUGACUGGGGAACUCAUAAGUCAUAAGCAGUGGGAUGAAGUUACGCAAUGUUGUGCAAAUUGAAAGGUGAUUUUUCGCUGAUGCCAAUCACAUAGUUGUUUGUAUACAUAACUAUUGAGAGCACUGACUACUUAACUUUUUGGAUCACAAUCUUGUCACAUUCCAGGCACAAUUAUUUGACAAGGGAUACAUAUCGAAUGCCUUGGCAAGGGCUGGCCUAGGCAUGGAAACAGAUGGCAAGGGAAGCAGGAAGGGGGUAAUUCAUAGGGAUUUUGAUUCUUGCAAGUUUUUUACAGGUCGAUAUUCAAGAGUACAUAUAUGGACAUUGUAGCAUACCGACACUUAAGUAAAGAAGUGGACUCACACACAGUAAAUUGCUGAAAUGACCAUUGCAGUUGACAUACAGCCGCAAAAAAUUGAGCCUUUUAUGCUCUGGAAUGCUCUCUUGCAAAAACUUUAUAGGCUGCUUAUAUUAGAAUUAGCUCUAAUUCACCAACUUCAGGUAAAAGACUAUACAGCAAACUAGCAAAGCGUGCAAAGAUGUAUGGUAGCAGCUCAGAGGCUGCAUCCAGUGAGAAGGAUGCUGAGGCUUGAAGUAGUGGUUACAUGCAUCUCAGAGUUGGAAGUGAGAUAGCCGAUAAGUUACUGCUAGAAUGUGUAUAAUAUGAUUGCCACCUUGUAGUAUUAAAUGGGUAUACUUUUGGGCAUAGUUGUCUUGAAGACUCGAUUCAAAGUUACCUUAUGCCUAUGUUAAUUAACUUUGCUGUCACUGAUUCAGGAUGAUGAUACUAA